GGGACACCCCUGCCUUGCUUGAGGAUUUCCCGGUCACGUGACAGACGUGUCUUGAACCUGCCCUCUCCCGGCUGACUGUCAGCGACUGUCAAUAACGGAAAGCAUGGCAGAGGACCCCAUGUCAUGUGACUGCUUUGUUUCCUUGCCCCCCGGCUCCCGUGACGACCACGUCAUUUUUGGCAAGAACUCUGACCGUCCCCGAGAUGAGGUGCAGGAGGUGGUCCACUACCCUGCAGUGUCUCACCCUGCAGGCACCAUGCUGGAGUGUACCUACAUCCAGAUCCCUCAGGUGGAGCAGACCCACGCCGUCAUCCUCAGCAAACCGGCGUGGUUAUGGGGGGCUGAAAUGGGAGCCAAUGACCAGGGAGUUUGUAUUGGGAACGAGGCCGUCUGGACUCGGGAGGAUGUUACUCCUGGGGAGGCUUUGUUGGGCAUGGACCUUGUGAGGCUGGGUCUGGAGCGCGGUGACAGUGCCUGGACGGCCCUCACUGUCAUCGCUGGUUUGCUAGAGGAACACGGCCAAGGAGGUCCGUGCAGGGAGGAUCCAGAACCCUUCAGCUACCACAACACCUUUCUUCUGGUGGACCGGAAUGAAGCCUGGGUGCUGGAAACCGCUGGCAGGCUCUGGGUCGCACAGAAAAUCUCAGAGGGAGUGAAGAACAUUUCCAACCAAUUGACCAUCGGCACCGAGAUCUCGGCUGAGCAUCCGGAGCUGCGGAGCGUGGCCCAGACAGAGGGCUGGUGGGACGGUGAAGCCGAGUUCAACUUCUCUCGAGUGUUCAGCCCUGAAAAGCCGCCCGCCAGGAUGGAGCUAGCCAAACAGCGCUACAACGGGGGCAUACAGCUACUGGAGCAACAUGAUGGGACCAUGACGGCAGAGGUAAUGAUGACUAUUCUGAGGGACAAGCCCAGCGGCAUCUGCAUGGACUCUGGAGGUUUCUGCACCACAGGCAGCAUGGUGUCUAUCCUUCCCCGGGAUCCUAGCCUGCCCUGCAUCCAUUUCUUCACUGCUACCCCGGACCCCUCUAGGUCUAUAUUCAAGCCUUACAUCUUCUCUGAGGAUUACACCCCAGUCCUCAGUGUAAUGUCCCCGCAGUUUGGCCCUGACGAUCCUGUGAGGAAGCAGCCACGUUUUCAGGGCCGAGUGGACCGCAGACAUGACCUGUAUAAGGCCCACCAGGAGGCACUAAACACCAUGAAGACCGACCCGGACAAGGGCUCUGCUGUCUAUGAGAUUUUGAGGGACCUGGAGUCGCAGUGUCUGAGCGAGAUCGCAGAAAUGUUGAAUGGAGACAUACCAGCCGACGAAUUGGGGAACCUGUUUUUUGACUGUGUGGACACAGAAAUCAAGUUCUACCAAUGAGGAGGUGGGCAACAUCUCCUGUGGUGACAACACAAGCAAAUCAAAAGACCGAUGUACGCCCUCAUUCCUGCGCAUUCCUAGCAAAGGCAGAGCUUCCAGGACCACGGGACGGGGACGGUUGAAUCUUCAUCCUCCAACCUGCCUCUGCUUCACAAGCACACAUCCCUAACACGGCUCCAUCGUUCAUUUAGACUGCAUGUCUAACAUGCAUCUGAUAUGGCAUCACUUGGGAACAAUGACCGCACCUUUUAGUGUAAAAACCCACACAGAGGUAGACUGCACUAGCACUAAUGUAGUAGCAUGAUCUUGCACAACUACUGGAAGUAUGAAAUAUGAUUAAAGUGCGACUU